UACGAAGGGGGCUAGCGUUGCUCGGAAUUACUGGGUGUAAAGCGCACGUAGGCGGCUUUCUAAGUCGGGGGUGAAAUCCUGGAGCUCAACUCCAGAACUGCCUUCGAUACUGGAGAGCUCGAGUCCGGGAGAGGUGAGUGGAACUGCGAGUGUAGAGGUGAAAUUCGUAGAUAUUCGCAAGAACACCAGUGGCGAAGGCGGCUCACUGGCCCGGUACUGACGCUGAGGUGCGAAAGCGUGGGGAGCAAACAGG
rnacentral:rRNA from 1 species